GUGAUCUAGCCAUGGGCAGGUUGAAGGUUGAGUAACAUCAACUGGAGGACCGAACCGACUAAUGUUGAAAAAUUAGCGGAUGACUUGUGGCUAGGGGUGAAAGGCCAAUCAAACUCGGAGAUAGCUGGUUCUCCCCGAAAGCUAUUUAGGUAGCGCCUCGGACGAAUACUACUGGGGGUAGAGCACUGUUAAGGCUAGGGGGUCAUCCCGACUUACCAACCCUUUGCAAACUCCGAAUACCAGUAAGUACUAUCCGGGAGACACACGGCGGGUGCUAACGUCCGUCGUGGAGAGGGAAACAACCCAGACCGCCAGCUAAGGUCCCAAAGUAUUGCUAAGUGGGAAACGAUGUGGGAAGGCUCAGACAGCUAGGAUGUUGGCUUAGAAGCAGCCAUCAUUUAAAGAAAGCGUAAUAGCUCACUAGUCGAGUCGGCCUGCGCGGAAGAUGUAACGGGGCUAAGCAAUACACCGAAGCUGCGGCAAUAUCUUUUAGAUAUUGGGUAGGGGAGCGUUCUGUAAGCCGUUGAAGGUGAAUCGUAAGGUUUGCUGGAGGUAUCAGAAGUGCGAAUGCUGACAUGAGUAACGACAAAGGGGGUGAAAAACCUCCUCGCCGGAAGACCAAGGGUUCCUGUCCAACGUUAAUCGGGGCAGGGUGAGUCGACCCCUAAGGUGAGGCCGAAAGGCGUAAUCGAUGGGAAACGGGUUAAUAUUCCCGUACUUCUGACUAUUGCGAUGGGGGGACGGAGAAGGCUAGGUGGGCCAGGCGACGGUUGUCCUGGUUCAAGUGCGUAGGCUUGAGAGUUAGGUAAAUCCGGCUCUCUCUAAGGCUGAGACACGACGUCGAGCUGCUACGGCAGUGAAGUCAUUGAUGCCAUGCUUCCAGGAAAAGCCUCUAAGCUUCAGAUAGUCAGGAAUCGUACCCCAAACCGACACAGGUGGUCGGGUAGAGAAUACCAAGGCGCUUGAGAGAACUCGGGUGAAGGAACUAGGCAAAAUGGUACCGUAACUUCGGGAGAAGGUACGCUCUUGAUGGUGAAGUCCCUCGCGGAUGGAGCUGACGAGAGUCGCAGAUACCAGGUGGCUGCAACUGUUUAUUAAAAACACAGCACUGUGCAAAAUCGCAAGAUGACGUAUACGGUGUGACGCCUGCCCGGUGCCGGAAGGUUAAUUGAUGGGGUUAGCGCAAGCGAAGCUCUUGAUCGAAGCCCCGGUAAACGGCGGCCGUAACUAUAACGGUCCUAAGGUAGCGAAAUUCCUUGUCGGGUAAGUUCCGACCUGCACGAAUGGCGUAAUGAUGGCCACGCUGUCUCCACCCGAGACUCAGUGAAAUUGAAAUCGCUGUGAAGAUGCAGUGUACCCGCGGCUAGACGGAAAGACCCCGUGAACCUUUACUACAGCUUGGCACUGAACAUUGAACCUACAUGUGUAGGAUAGGUGGGAGGCUAUGAAGACGUGACGCCAGUUGCGUUGGAGCCGUCCUUGAAAUACCACCCUUGUAUGUUUGAUGUUCUAACUUAGACCCAUUAUCUGGGUUGAGGACAGUGCCUGGUGGGUAGUUUGACUGGGGCGGUCUCCUCCCAAAGAGUAACGGAGGAGCACGAAGGUGGGCUAAUCACGGUUGGACAUCGUGAGGUUAGUGCAAUGGCAUAAGCCCGCUUAACUGCGAGAAUGACGGUUCGAGCAGGUGCGAAAGCAGGUCAUAGUGAUCCGGUGGUUCUGUAUGGAAGGGCCAUCGCUCAACGGAUAAAAGGUACUCCGGGGAUAACAGGCUGAUACCGCCCAAGAGUUCAUAUCGACGGCGGUGUUUGGCACCUCGAUGUCGGCUCAUCACAUCCUGGGGCUGAAGUCGGUCCCAAGGGUAUGGCUGUUCGCCAUUUAAAGUGGUACGCGAGCUGGGUUUAGAACGUCGUGAGACAGUUCGGUCCCUAUCUGCCGUGGGCGUUGGAAGAUUGAAGGGGGCUGCUCCUAGUACGAGAGGACCGGAGUGGACGAACCUCUGGUGUUCGGGUUGUGUCGCCAGACGCAUUGCCCGGUAGCUAAGUUCGGAAUUGAUAAGCGCUGAAAGCAUCUAAGCGCGAAGC
rnacentral:rRNA from 1 species